rnacentral:rRNA from 1 species
UACGUAGGGGGCAAGCGUUGUCCGGAUUUAUUGGGCGUAAAGAGCGUGUAGGCGGCCACACAGGUCAGCUGUGAAAACUCGAGGCUCAACCUCGAGACGUCGGUUGAAACCGUAUGGCUAGAGUCCGGAAGAGGAGAGUGGAAUUCCCGGUGUAGCGGUGAAAUGCGCAGAUAUCGGGAAGAACACCCGUGGCGAAGGCGGCUCUCUGGGCCGGUACUGACACUGAGGAGCGAAAGCGUGGGGAGCAAACAGG